rnacentral:rRNA from 1 species
AAUGAACGUUGGCGGCGUGGAUUAGGCAUGCAAGUCGAGCGAGAAUUCCCCGCAAGGGGAAGGACAGCGGCGUAAGGGAGAGUAAUGCGUGGAUACCUACCCUCCGACCUGGGAUAGCCGCGGGAAACUGCGGGUAAUACCAGAUAAUGUCCCCGGACCAAAGGUGUGAUUCCGUCGGGGGAGGGGUCCGCGUCCUAUUAGCUAGUUGGUGGGGUAACGGCCUACCAAGGCCAUGAUGGGUACGGGGUGUGAGAGCAUGCCCCCCGCUCACUGGGGACUGAGACACUGCCCCAGACACCUACGGGAGGCUG